CCCCUUCAAAUCCGCCGCGCGCGGGCCUAUAUUUGAUCCGUUCCUCCGGGGACUAUGGUGAUAAACGCGCAUGUAAUAAGCGGAUCGGACCCGGGGGCGGUACCCGGCGGCUCCACCAACAUCCUUCGUUUGGGGAUCAUGGGGCCGAAACAGGAUCGACGGACGUGUAAAGAUGUUGCUUUCACUCGGCGGACGGCCACCGUUAUCGGCGUAAAAAGCAUAGUUGCAAACGACAAUCGUGCUCCGGUUGCUCUCGCUGCGUAAGCAGUGCGAAAUACCGAAAUCUAAGUCCUGAGACCUAGCAGUUUCAGGCGGGGUUCGCAGGCACCUGGCAACAGAAGCCUGCAUU
rnacentral:tmRNA from 1 species